UUUCUUUCUUUUUUUUUUUCAGCUUGCAAUUGGGUUUUAUGUUUGAUUGCUGGGUUAUGUUGGAUUGUUGGGUUUUCAAUUGUGUCGAUUUGCAUUGUUUGAAAAAAUUGCUUGUUGAAUGUUUAUUGCUGGGUUAAAUUUGUAUGAGAUUUAAUUGUUGAAUGAAUUUGUUGAAAUUGAACAUGGAUUGGUAAUUGAUUAUGGGUUAUUGUAUUUUUUUUUUCCCUUUCUUUUGUAUUGAUUUCAUGUAGUUUUUUUUGCCUCUAUUUCUGUUUGAUUCAUGGAGUUUGUUUACCUCUGUAUUGCAUCUGGGUAUUAGAUUUGUGAAGGGUGCCUAAAUCGACCCCUUUUUUUCUUCUGCAUUUCAUCGGUCUUUUGGCAUCUUCAUUGCAUCUGGGAUACAGAACCGACAGUUUCAAACCGAACCGAUUGGGUUCCUCUCUUAAUUCGGUUUGGUUCGGUUAGCAUUUUACAUGAUUUCAGUUUUUUGGUUUUCUGGUUUCGGUUCGGUGUAAAUGAGAGUAUGUGGCUGGUGUUGGAUUGUGGAUUCUGGGAAUUCGGUCCCCUGAAUUUCGUUUGUUUUGUUGCAUAUCAAACAAUUUCGUGCAAACUUGCCAGUAAAGGUGCAAUCUUUUAGGUGUAUGUGUGUGAAAAUUAAUGCUGCUGUUCGGAAAUUGCUUCAUAGUGCGUAAAGGUUCUGAAAGUGAGAGACAUUUGGCCUAUCUGUAGAAGGUGGUGCUAGUGGUAGAAUUUUAGUCUCGAAGAGUGUUCUCUUCUCUAUAUCUGAUAUAGCAGUGCAUUUAGGAGUAUAUGUAGAUUCUAAAUGAAUAUUUGGACUUAAAGCAUCUUGUACAUAAUAUGGGACUUUGAUUUUGUGUCUGAAUCUUGAUUAUUGAUACACAAAGAAGUCUAAAUGAGCUCAACAAUGUCAUGUUCUCAGAAAUUCACAUUAAGGCAUAAAAUUGGUCCAUUCCCAAUUUUGAGAAUGAUUUAAUUUAUUUUUUGGUCCUUGGGAGAAAAGAAGAGGGGGAAGGGAGAGGGGGUGCUGGUGGAAGGUAAUUAAUGGGCAUUAAAAUCACUCUGUGGUUACUUAGACCUUUAGGCUAGUGUAUCCUUAUUCAUCAUUUGAUCCUUCCCUAGGAAAAUAUGCAGUGCAAAUUAAACCACUCUGUGGUUACAUUGACCGCUGUGAAAGUAUAUUGUUAUUCGUCAUCUGAUCCUUCCCUUGGAAAAUCUGGAGUGCAAAUACAAGCUGGAAAACUUUUGGGCAUUGGAUUCAGAAUGAUUUGGAAUAGACUACAAGCAUAAGAAGCAUACCUAGUGACUAGCAAUUAUGUUUUGGUGUUUUAGCAGUAUGCUGUUUAGAAUUCUUGAGAAGGAUCUGAGGUUCCUAGAUGAAUUUCUUUGGUCAACGAAGCUUGGAUUUAGCCUGGUUCUUGUGGUUGGUCUAGUGAUGCUAAGGUUUUAGCUUGUUAAGAUAGUUUUCUGGAGGCCAUGAAAGUGAACAAUUUACUGCAAUUGAAUGAGAGGUUUUCUCAUUUGAAACCAUGAGGGAGGUUUUCUCUUUUGAAACCAUGAGGUUAAGUCUUGUUAUGGUAUUGUGAUUGCUUGUUCCACUGGAAGAGUGUAAGGUGGUUGGGCGUUCCUAUUGUAUUGUUGUCUUUUAUUAGGAUGACAGUGGGCAAAUUUGGUUAAGAAGGGACAAUUAUUAUGGGCUACUGAUCUAUGUACAGAAGCAAGAAGGAAACUGACAGGCAUUCUUGUAGUUCAGUGGACAGUUGUGGAAUCCCAUGUUAGUUGGAGGCUUUUACAAAAGCACUUGUGAGGAAAAGACCAAAGAAUAUUCAUUUAAGAAUUAAAGAAUAUUUGAAAUUUUUAUGAUCAAAUUGUUGCUGGCAUUUGAGGAUUGCAAUCUCUUUCUGAUCCUGCACCUUUAUCAUGUUCAUUCAAACUUAUAUGAAGUUUCAUCUGUCAAUUGACAUAUAUGUGCUUCAUUUGUUGAAUUUUACUAUUUGUUUAAUUCACUAUGGAACCAUUUCAUAUCUUUAUGAAGUCCCUUGUUAACUUCCUAGUGGUUGACCCAAUAACAAUGAAAGGAAUUUAAAAUUGUGUCAUCUCUUGCUUCGUAGAUUGGUAGUAAUUUGAUGUAUUUUUGAGUGGGAUGAGUUUUUUUCCAGAUUAAAUGAUGACUCGUGGCGUUAUCUGAUACUUUGUGCAUUUAGAAUUUUGUUUUAUUUUUACUAUGAGGGAGUAAUUUGGGUGAUGUUUGAUUUGGGUGCUUGUCCGUUAAACUAUUUAGAUGCCAACUCUUCUUGAAAUUGCACAAACAUGCUGCAUUAACUCAUUCUGUGUAUUUGUUUUUUCAGGUGACAAUUUGUCAGAAUUGUGGU
rnacentral:misc_RNA from 1 species